rnacentral:rRNA from 1 species
AUGUCCCACGUGCUUCAUUGGACCUGCAGUCCUCCACCACAUGCGUCCCGCAGGGGCUGCCUCGGGGACACCGGUACAAACUGCAACCGGCCAAGAGCAAUCCAUAGCCCACCAUGGCCUGUGACGCCACUACUGGACUCUGGUGGUCCUCUUCCUAUGACUUUCACAUUCUUCAGUGUUCGUUCACUAUUGUUCCCCACCCGAUGUCGGGCAGUGCAGGUUGCUUCUUCAUUGCAGCCUGGUUGGGUCGUCGGUGCAGUACGUAGGCACCUGAGAGGAUUACGGGCGUGUAGUUUGAUUUUGGCUGUGUGUUGCUCCAGUAUGGUUGCGCGCGUCAUGCGCUUUACUCGGGUGUGCGCAGAAUGUUCUUAUAAUCUGUCGGCGUGCAGUUUCGACAACGGUUUGUCAACUCGUCCCGUGCAACUCAGUUUCCGCAGGCACGCGGUGCAGCAUUUUGCAUGGUGCAGCUCGGCAGCGGUUCGACAACAUGUCUUGUUUUGCAGCUGGUGCCACUGUGUGUGCAUUUUAGUACUUGGCCUCCCCGUGUAG